rnacentral:tRNA from 1 species
GGCUCGGUAACUUAGUUGGUAAAGCACUUGUCUAGCGAAUAAGGGUCAUGAGUUCAAAUCUCACCUGAGCUG